GGUGAGGUGGCCGAGAGGCUUAAGGCGGCGGUUUGCUAAACCGUUGUAGGGGUUUAAAUCCCUACCCAGGGUUCGAAUCCCUGCCUCACCGCCA
rnacentral:tRNA from 1 species